UUAACACAUGCAAGUCGAACGGAAAGGCCCUGCUUUUGUGGGGUGCUCGAGUGGCGAACGGGUGAGUAACACGUGAGUAACCUGCCCUUGACUUUGGGAUAACUUCAGGAAACUGGGGCUAAUACCGGAUAGGAGCUCCUGCUGCAUGGUGGGGGUUGGAAAGUUUCGGCGGUUGGGGAUGGACUCGCGGCUUAUCAGCUUGUUGGUGGGGUAGUGGCUUACCAAGGCUUUGACGGGUAGCCGGCCUGAGAGGGUGACCGGCCACAUUGGGACUGAGAUACGGCCCAGACUCCUACGGGAGGCAGCAGUGGGGAAUAUUGCACAAUGGGCGGAAGCCUGAUGCAGCAACGCCGCGUGCGGGAUGACGGCCUUCGGGUUGUAAACCGCUUUCGCCUGUGACGAAGCGUGAGUGACGGUAAUGGGUAAAGAAGCACCGGCUAACUACGUGCCAGCAGCCGCGGUGAUACGUAGGGUGCGAGCGUUGUCCGGAUUUAUUGGGCGUAAAGGGCUCGUAGGUGGUUGAUCGCGUCGGAAGUGUAAUCUUGGGGCUUAACCCUGAGCGUGCUUUCGAUACGGGUUGACUUGAGGAAGGUAGGGGAGAAUGGAAUUCCUGGUGGAGCGGUGGAAUGCGCAGAUAUCAGGAGGAACACCAGUGGCGAAGGUGGUUCUCUGGGCCUUUCCUGACGCUGAGGAGCGAAAGCGUGGGGAGCGAACAGGCUUAGAUACCCUGGUAGUCCACGCUGUAAACGGUGGGUACUAGGUGUGGGGUCCAUUCCACGGGUUCCGUGCCGUAGCUAACGCUUUAAGUACCCCGCCUGGGGAGUACGGCCGCAAGGCUAAAACUCAAAGGAAUUGACGGGGCCCCGCACAAGCGGCGGAGCAUGCGGAUUAAUUCGAUGCAACGCGUAGAACCUUACCUGGGUUUGACAUGGAUCGGGAGUGCUCAGAGAUGGGUGUGCCUCUUUUGGGGUCGGUUCACAGGUGGUGCAUGGCUGUCGUCAGCUCGUGUCGUGAGAUGUUGGGUUAAGUCCCGCAACGAGCGCAACCCUUGUUCACUGUUGCCAGCACGUUAUGGUGGGGACUCAGUGGAGACCGCCGGGGUCAACUCGGAGGAAGGUGGGGAUGACGUCAAGUCAUCAUGCCCCUUAUGUCCAGGGCUUCACGCAUGCUACAAUGGCUGGUACAGAGAGUGGCGAGCCUGUGAGGGUGAGCGAAUCUCGGAAAGCCGGUCUCAGUUCGGAUUGGGGUCUGCAACUCGACCUCAUGAAGUCGGAGUCGCUAGUAAUCGCAGAUCAGCAACGCUGCGGUGAAUACGUUCCCGGGGCUUGUACACACCGCCCGUCAAGUCAUGAAAGUUGGUAACACCCGAAGCCGGUGGCCUAACCGUUGUGGGGGAGCCGUCGAAGGUGGGACUGGUGAUUAGGACUAAGUC
rnacentral:rRNA from 1 species